rnacentral:rRNA from 1 species
AGCUUGCUACCUGACCUAGCGGCGGACGGGUGAGUAAUGCUUAGGAAUCUGCCUAUUAGUGGGGGACAACAUUCCGAAAGGAAUGCUAAUACCGCAUACGCCCUACGGGGGAAAGCAGGGGAUCUUCGGACCUUGCGCUAAUAGAUGAGCCUAAGUCAGAUUAGCUAGUUGGUGGGGUAAAGGCCUACCAAGGCGACGAUCUGUAGCGGGUCUGAGAGGAUGAUCCGCCACACUGGGACUGAGACACGGCCCAGACUCCUACGGGAGGCAGCAGUGGGGAAUAUUGGACAAUGGGCGAAAGCCUGAUCCAGCCAUGCCGCGUGUGUGAAGAAGGCCUUUUGGUUGUAAAGCACUUUAAGCGAGGAGGAGGCUACUUGGAUUAAUACUCUAGGAUAGUGGACGUUACUCGCAGAAUAAGCACCGGCUAACUCUGUGCCAGCAGCCGCGGUAAUACAGAGGGUGCGAGCGUUAAUCGGAUUUACUGGGCGUAAAGCGUGCGUAGGCGGCUUUUUAAGUCGGAUGUGAAAUCCCUGAGCUUAACUUAGGAAUUGCAUUCGAUACUGGGAAGCUAGAGUAUGGGAGAGGAUGGUAGAAUUCCAGGUGUAGCGGUGAAAUGCGUAGAGAUCUGGAGGAAUACCGAUGGCGAAGGCAGCCAUCUGGCCUAAUACUGACGCUGAGGUACGAAAGCAUGGGGAGCAAACAGGAUUAGAUACCCUGGUAGUCCAUGCCGUAAACGAUGUCUACUAGCCGUUGGGGCCUUUGAGGCUUUAGUGGCGCAGCUAACGCGAUAAGUAGACCGCCUGGGGAGUACGGUCGCAAGACUAAAACUCAAAUGAAUUGACGGGGGCCCGCACAAGCGGUGGAGCAUGUGGUUUAAUUCGAUGCAACGCGAAGAACCUUACCUGGUCUUGACAUAGUAAGAACUUUCCAGAGAUGGAUUGGUGCCUUCGGGAACUUACAUACAGGUGCUGCAUGGCUGUCGUCAGCUCGUGUCGUGAGAUGUUGGGUUAAGUCCCGCAACGAGCGCAACCCUUUUCCUUAUUUGCCAGCGGGUUAAGCCGGGAACUUUAAGGAUACUGCUAGUGACAAACUGGAGGAAGGCGGAGACGACGUCAAGUCAUCAUGGCCCUUACGACCAGGGCUACACACGUGCUACAAUGGUCGGUACAAAGGGUUGCUACCUAGCGAUAGGAUGCUAAUCUCAAAAAGCCGAUCGUAGUCCGGAUUGGAGUCUGCAACUCGACUCCAUGAA